rnacentral:rRNA from 1 species
AAUUUUGGACAAUGGGGGAAACGCUGAUCCAGCCAUCCCGCGUGUAUGAUGAAGGCCUUCGGGUUGUAAAGUACUUUUGGCAGAGAAGAAAAGGUACCUCCUAAUACGAGGUACUGCUGACGGUAUCUGCAGAAUAAGCACCGGCUAACUACGUGCCAGCAGCCGCGGUAAUACGUAGGGUGCAAGCUUUAAUCGGAAUUAAUGGGCGUAAAGGUUCCCAAGGCGGCAGGAAAAGAAGGAGGUGAAAUCCCGGGGCUCAACCUUGAAAUUGAAUUCUAAACUGCCAACCUGAGGUAUUCCGGAGGGGGUAAAAAUCCAAGGGUUGCAAUGAAAAGCGUAAGUAUUUUGGAGAAAACCGGUUGGGAAAGCAGCCCCCUUGGAAUAUACUUACCGUUCAACCCGGAAGCGUUGGGAGCAAAC